CCGAGUUUACAACUCCCAACCCCUAUGAACAUACCACUUGUUGCCUCGGCGGAUCAGCCCGCUCCCGGUAAAACGGGACGGCCCGCCAGAGGACCCCUAAACUCUGUUUCUAUAUGUAACUUCUGAGUAAAACCAUAAAUAAAUCA
rnacentral:misc_RNA from 1 species